UUCAUUUUAUUAAAUAUUUUUUAUUUAUCGUUAAUUAGUUGAAAAUAAUUAUUACACUUUGAAUAAUUAUGAAAUGGUGACGUCAUGAGUGGGAGAUGUUAUACGCAUGCGCAUCAACAAUUCAAGGUGCAAGCGCACUUUGAAAAAAAUGAAAGUAAAGUUGGUAUAUAUUUGCAGGUGAUAUAUUUAAAAGUUAUUUCCACAGUAACAAACUAUAGGGUAGUGAAAAGAAAUAGGUUAAUCGUUCAUAAUGUAUAAACAAUAACCUCGAAGUCAUCAAUGCGCAGGAACAUUGAAACAGAUUUAUUUUUGUUGAAAGAAUUACAUAAAAAUGGUGGAUUAUUUCCUUUAUAUACAUGCGCAACGUUCGG
rnacentral:lncRNA from 1 species